rnacentral:rRNA from 1 species
AUUGAACGCUGGCGGCAGGCCUAACACAUGCAAGUCGCGCGGAGCGGCGGACGGGUGAGUAAUGACUAGGAAUCUGCCUGGUAGUGGGGGAUAACGUCCGGAAACGGGCGCUAAUACCGCAUACUAUCAGAUGAGCCUAGGUCGGAUUAGCUAGUUGGUGGGGUACAGGCCUACCAGGGCGACGAUCCGUAACUGGUCUGAGAGGAUGAUCUGUCACACUGGACCUGUGACACGGUCAAGACGCCGACGAGAGGCAGCAGGGGGGAAUAGUGGACAAGGAGCGAAAGCCUGAUCCAGCCAUGCCGCGUGUGUGAAGAAGGUCUUCGGAUUGUAAAGCACUUUAAGUUGGGAGGCGUUACCCGCAGAAGAAGCACCGGCUAACUCCGUGCCAGCAGCCGCGGUAAUAC